AACCGGAGCUAAUACCGGAUAAUAUAUUGAACCGCAUGGUUCAAUAGUGAAAGACGGUUUUGCUGUCACUUAUAGAUGGAUCCGCGCCGCAUUAGCUAGUUGGUAAGGUAACGGCUUACCAAGGCAACGAUGCGUAGCCGACCUGAGAGGGUGAUCGGCCAUACUGGAACUGAGACACGGUCCAG
rnacentral:rRNA from 1 species